AGGAUGUAGUCCUUGGACGUAAACUCCUUUUGACCAGACGAUAAUGACGGUAUCUCGGAAGAAGCCCCGGCUAACUCUGUGCCAGCACCCGCGGUAAUACAGAGGGCGCGAGCGUUGUUCUGAAUUAUUGGGCGUAAAGGGCGCGUAGGCGGUGCGCUAAGUCUCAUGUGAAAUCUCCCGGCUCACUCGGGAUGCACUGAAACUGUGGGCUGAGUAUGGGAGAGGAGCGUGGAAUUCCCGGUGUAUCGGUGAAAUGCGUAGAUAUCUGGAGGAACACCUGUGGCGAAAGCGGCGCUCUGGGCCAUAACUGACGCUGAGGCGCGAAAGCUAGGGGAGCAAACACGAUUAUGAUACCCUGGUAGUCCUAGCCCUAAACGAUGAGUGCUUGGUGUGGUCGGUACCCAAUCCUUCAGUGCCGCAGCUAACGCGUA
rnacentral:rRNA from 1 species